UGGAUUUCUCUGUAGUGUUAUCCUAUUGUCAACAAUAAAACUCAUAAGGUUUAGAAUGUCAACAAUAAAACUGAAACCAAAUUAAUACAUCUGAGAGUAGUCAAAAUAUCUAAUGUAUAGAGGAGCAUUAUUAAACCAUGCAAUCCUACAAAAAAUCAAUUUAACUAAAUCCCAAAGUAACUAUAGCUAGUAGUAUAUAUUAAAAAUUACAAAGGAAAGUUGAGAUUUGAAAUAGCUAACAUGGAGCAAAGGGCUUUUUGCAAUGAAUUUAGCCGAAUUGGACCAGCUUUUUCAAGGUCUGACAAUUGUGUGCAUAGACAGAACCAAGCAAUCAUAACAACUCAUUUAACUUUUUACAUGGAAGAAUUUUCAGUAAUGUUAAAAAAUAUCAUGUUUGCUAUGAAAUAAACAUCAUGUUGCAAUAUGUUUUAUUGCAAUCAUAAAAGGUGUGAAUCACUUAAGAAAUUGUUAAUAAGUCACGAAGUUCAAAGUUGUAAAUGAGUUCAAUCUUACUAUCCUCAUGACUCAACCAUUUAUCCGCAUGUUUCCUUUUCAACUGCUCUUAGACUUCAGUUCUAAUAGAGCUUAAUGAAAGAGAAAUCCUACCCACAUGGAAGUCAAAAGUUCUCUCCACAGGACAAUCCAAAUUGAUAUUCUUAGUGGUCCCCCUUUCUUCCCCUCGAAAAUUUUAAAUGCAAAAGAAAAUUGAUUGUUGUCCUAAGAGGAACAGAACAAUCCAAAUUGAUAUUCUCAGUGGUCCCUAUUUCCCAAACGAAUUCCACCGGAAAAAAAUCUGGCCCCUCAAUGGAUACCUAUUUUCCUGAAUCUUCAACCCAAAAACAUAAUAGAAGAAAACAAAAAACAUGGACCAGAUACCCCACUCUUUGGAUGAACACAAAACAGAGUUGAAGAUCCCAUAAACAAUAGAAGACUGAGAGAGC